rnacentral:rRNA from 1 species
UACGGGGGGGGCAAGCGUUGUUCGGAAUUACUGGGCGUAAAGGGCUCGUAGGCGGCCAACUAAGUCAGACGUGAAAUCCCUCGGCUUAACCGGGGAACGGCGUCUGAUACUGGAUGGCUUGAAUCCGGGAGAGGGAUGCGGAAUUCCAGGUGUAGCGGUGAAAUGCGUAGAUAUCGGGAGGAACACCUGUGGCGAAAGCGGCUCACUGGACCACAACUGACGCUGAGGCGCGAAAGCUAGGGGAGCAAACAGG